GCGCGUAGGCGGUCUCUUAAGUCAGAUGUGAAAGCCCGGGGCUUAACCCCGGAAGUGCAUUUGAAACUAAGGGACUUGAGUAUGGGAGAGGGAAGUGGAAUUCCUGGUGUAGAGGUGAAAUUCGUAGAUAUCAGGAGGAACACCGGUGGCGAAGGCGACUUCCUGGACCAAUACUGACGCUGAGGCGCGAAGGCGUGGGGAGCAAACA
rnacentral:rRNA from 1 species